CAGCCGUCCGCGUGCUACGUCGUAGGUACGCUUUUAUGCAAAUUCAAGAAGGUUUUUGCGACGCCCGGCUCUAUUGCCAUACAAACCGCUCGUUACACCGCGACCGCGGCGUAACUAAUUAAACUUGUAAUUAACGAGCCGGGCUUAUUCGAUCUCGAGGUGUCCGCCACGCAAGCCACCACAUGUGCUUACGCCAACCUUGUGUUCGACUUUGUUCACUUAACUUUCUUUUCGCGCUUUUUAUUUUGUUCUCGCGGGAUAUGCAUGGCUAAGAGGCUAGAAUUCGUUUGCGACGCAUCGUGUGACUUCUGGUUUGAAAUUUUGGUUGCAGUGAGUGUUUGAAAUAGAGCGUUUCUUUGAGUUGUUUUCCGAUGUUCGUGAUUGACGUAACAGGUUAGGAAAAAGCGCGGAAACAAUAAUACGUGUAGACUAAGGUAAAUUAUAACCAGCAAGUAUCUGAAUGGAUCGCCGUCGGGGAAGAACAGAUUCCUCAUCUUUACGAUAUCUCUUGGUCAGGUGCAUUACCAUCAAACUGUCGCUAAUUACAUGGCUAGUGCUAUCUUUGUGCACAUAACCGUGGUUGCCUAUGUGCUUCGCUCGUGCAAUUUUAAUGGCGUCGAUUUGCCGCCACCACACACGACGCACUCGGAAACAAUUCAAAUUCUGGACAGGCGCACGGGGAUGAAGUAAUAAUCAUUUAUUGCGAUCCGUGGAAUCGAACAGGAAGCGUGCGUAUCCCUUUGACUCAACUUCACCGAGCAAAACUCACUGGCUGCAUAGAUGUGUUUACGAAUGAAAUCCAAGAUGCGGCCGAGCCGAUAGCUACUGGCGAUUCGCUCGUUUAACAGCGUAACGGCGAGCCGGCAGGAGUCAGGGCCGGUGACUGGCAUCGCGCGAAGAGAGACGGAUAGAGAGCACCGGGACACGAGGGAGCAGAGAGGCACAGGUAAAAACGUGACUGGGUCCCUACGAGGGUGCUAGAAGAUUGUUGGCUGGUUGCAUGGAUGAAAUUGAGAGAAUAGGAGUUCGCAAUAUGGACGUCGCAGGUGAUCUAUGAUCGAUAAGUCAAAUUUAUGGAAGCCAGUAGAGAGACACCAUUGAUGAUUUACAGUCAACUCGUUAAUAUUUCACGCAGGAUUUGGGCCCGAAGAAAUGAUCGGUUUCAAAAUUUAAUUUAAAAUUGUACAUUCAUUGUUACUUCUUUUGUUCAUACAACUUUGUGUUAAUUCUUAUAUUAUCUGAUUAAUCAGUUUCUCAAUUUUUGUUAAUAUAAGAAUUUACAUAAAUUUAGACGAACAAAAGGAAUAACAAUGAAUGUACAAUUGUAAAUCAAAUUCUGAAGCCGAGCCUGGUAACGUUUUAGUGUUAAACCUGCGAAAACUAAAUGGAGGAGGAGAUUGCAAAAGGUCUAACCUUGCGUGUCAAGUGGAAGCAGGAAGCGUCGUCGUCGUCUGCAUGAACUAAUCCUGUAUAACUACUAUCCAGGCACCAUCUAAAAUCUAGAAGACCCUAGGAGUCCGCAAACAGUUGCCAACGAUAACGAUAAAGUUAUCUAUGUUUCCUGAAUACAAAUGAGCGUAUUAUGUAAAUCUACUUUCCAUCGAAACAUCCGAAUCGAAGUUUUAUUAGAGAAAAAUGAAUGUGGGAGCUGGUACGUUGCAAGUGUACAUGGGUGGGAAUUAAGAUAAAAACGCUAUUAAAGGGUACAAGAUGCUUCAAACUUACGUAUGCAAAUGGUAAUUGUUAUUAGAAAGAGGAGCGCAGUUUCUGAAAUUGCUCGGAUUAAGUUGUAACGUUUUUUCAAAUGGCCGUUGAUACAGACAUCAAAGCAUCUAUUUAUUUGAACGAUGUGUAUAAGUUUCUUUUAUUUAGGAUUUUAUGUACUUAUAUGUACCCUUCGUUACCGAUAAGGGUUCUUUUAUUUUCUUAGAAAGUGAGACUCGCUUCUUACUUGCACCUGCCACGCUAUAUGUAUGUCUGAUACGAGUUUUCUAUGUAAUUUAAGGGCGUUCGUUAUUCCUGUAAUGAUGUUUGAUAUUUAUAGUUUCUGCAGUUAGAAGAUUCUACAAACUGCCUUUAUGUUCUUCUUUUACUUUUCCCCGUUCUUAGUUAUUUUCUGGAAAAAUUGUACAUAUCUCGAUUCUACGGAGUGAGACUGCUGUUGCUAAUUAGUUUCUUGCGAUUCGCGAGAUGGAAUGUUAUUCGAUAUUGUAGUAUACGAUCACUGCAAUAUUUUAUAUCUUCGUUAUAGCCUCUCAACCACCUUCGAAACCAAUUAUAUUUAUUUAUAUAAUAUUAAUCGUCACAUCAAAUAAAUUAUACGUAUU